rnacentral:rRNA from 1 species
CGAUUUGAAGAGUUUGAUCAUGGCUCAGGAUGAACGCUGGCGGUAUGCCUUAUACACGCAAGUCGUACGAGAGUUUUUAACUCAAGUGGCGGACGGGUGAGUAACACGUAAGAAUUUGCCUUUAGGAGGGGGAUAACAACUGGAAACGGUUGCUAAUACCCCAUAUGCUUUCGAGUGAAAUGGUUUUUCCGCCUAAAGAGAAGCUUGCGGCUGAUUAGCUUGUUGGUGAGGUAAUGGCUCACCAAGGCGACGAUCAGUAUCUGGUUUGAGAGGACGAUCAGAUACACUGGAACUGAGACACGGUCCGGACUCCUACGGGAGGCAGCAGUAGGGAAUUUUCCGCAAUGGGCGAAAGCCUGACGGAGCAAUACCGCGUGAGGGAUGACGGCCUAUGGGUUGUAAACCUCUUUUUUCAGGGAGGAAUAAAUGACGUGUACCUGAAGAAUAAGCAUCGGCUAACUCCGUGCCAGCAGCCGCGGUAAGACGGAGGAUGCAAGUGUUAUCCGGAAUCACUGGGCGUAAAGCGUCUGUAGGUGGUCAAAUAAGUCAACUGUUAAAUCUUGAGGCUCAACCUCAAAACCGCAGUCGAAAYUAUUAGACUAGAGUAUAGUAGGGGUAAAGGGAAUUUCCAGUGGAGCGGUGAAAUGCGUAGAUAUUGGAAGGAACACCGAUGGCGAAGGCACUUUACUGGGCUAUUACUAACACUCAGAGACGAAAGCUAGGGUAGCAAAUGGGAUUAGAUACCCCAGUAGUCCUAGCUGUAAACCAUGGAUACUAGAUGUUGAACAGAUCGACCUGUGCAGUAUCAAAGCUAACGCGUUAAGUAUCCCGCCUGGGAAGUAUGCUCGCAAGAGUAAAACUCAAAGGAAUUGACGGGGACCCGCACAAGCGGUGGAUGAUGUGGAUUAAUUCGAUGCAACGCGAAAAACCUUACCUACCCUUGACAUGUACGGAAGCCUCUCGAAAGCGAGGUGUGCCCGAAAGGGAGCCGUAACACAGGUGCUGCAUGGCUGUCGUCAGCUCGUGUCGUGAGAUGUUGGGUUAAGUCCCGCAACGAGCGCAACCCUUGUCAUUAGUUGCUACAUUUAAGGUGGGCACUCUAAUGAGACUGCCGGUGACAAACCGGAGGAAGGUGGGGAUGACGUCAAGUCCUCAUGGCCCUUAUGGGUAGGGCCUCACACGUCAUACAAUGCUGCGCACAAAGGGAAGCAAAACCGCGAGGUCGAGCAAAUCCCAGAAAACGCAGCUCAGUUCGGAUUGCAGGCUGCAACUCGCCUGCAUGAAGCUGGAAUCGCUAGUAAUCGUAGGUCAGCAUACUACGGUGAAUAUGUUCCUGAGCCUUGUACACACCGCCCGUCAAGCCACGAAAGUGGGGGGGGCUUAAAGUCGCUACGCUAACCGUAAGGAAGCAGGCGCCUAGAGUCAACUCCGCGAUUGGGACUAAGUCGUAACAAGGUAACCAAUC